rnacentral:rRNA from 1 species
GACGAACGCUGGCGGCGUGCCUAAUACAUGCAAGUCGAACGAACUCUGGUAUUGAUUGGUGCUUGCAUCAUGAUUUACAUUUGAGUGAGUGGCGAACUGGUGAGUAACACGUGGGAAACCUGCCCAGAAGCGGGGGAUAACACCUGGAAACAGAUGCUAAUACCGCAUAACAACUUGGACCGCAUGGUCCGAGCUUGAAAGAUGGCUUCGGCUAUCACUUUUGGAUGGUCCCGCGGCGUAUUAGCUAGAUGGUGGGGUAACGGCUCACCAUGGCAAUGAUACGUAGCCGACCUGAGAGGGUAAUCGGCCACAUUGGGACUGAGACACGGCCCAAACUCCUACGGGAGGCAGCAGUAGGGAAUCUUCCACAAUGGACGAAAGUCUGAUGGAGCAACGCCGCGUGAGUGAAGAAGGGUUUCGGCUCGUAAAACUCUGUUGUUAAAGAAGAACAUAUCUGAGAGUAACUGUUCAGGUAUUGACGGUAUUUAACCAGAAAGCCACGGCUAACUACGUGCCAGCAGCCGCGGUAAUACGUAGGUGGCAAGCGUUGUCCGGAUUUAUUGGGCGUAAAGCGAGCGCAGGCGGUUUUUUAAGUCUGAUGUGAAAGCCUUCGGCUCAACCGAAGAAGUGCAUCGGAAACUGGGAAACUUGAGUGCAGAAGAGGACAGUGGAACUCCAUGUGUAGCGGUGAAAUGCGUAGAUAUAUGGAAGAACACCAGUGGCGAAGGCGGCUGUCUGGUCUGUAACUGACGCUGAGGCUCGAAAGUAUGGGUAGCAAACAGGAUUAGAUACCCUGGUAGUCCAUACCGUAAACGAUGAAUGCUAAGUGUUGGAGGGUUUCCGCCCUUCAGUGCUGCAGCUAACGCAUUAAGCAUUCCGCCUGGGGAGUACGGCCGCAAGGCUGAAACUCAAAGGAAUUGACGGGGGCCCGCACAAGCGGUGGAGCAUGUGGUUUAAUUCGAAGCUACGCGAAGAACCUUACCAGGUCUUGACAUACUAUGCAAAUCUAAGAGAUUAGAUGUUCCCUUCGGGGACAUGGAUACAGGUGGUGCAUGGUUGUCGUCAGCUCGUGUCGUGAGAUGUUGGGUUAAGUCCCGCAACGAGCGCAACCCUUAUUAUCAGUUGCCAGCAUUAAGUUGGGCACUCUGGUGAGACUGCCGGUGACAAACCAGAGGAAGGUGGGGAUGACGUCAAAUCAUCAUGCCCCUUAUGACCUGGGCUACACACGUGCUACAAUGGAUGGUACAACGAGUUGCGAACUCGCGAGAGUAAGCUAAUCUCUUAAAGCCAUUCUCAGUUCGGAUUGUAGGCUGCAACUCGCCUACAUGAAGUCGGAAUCGCUAGUAAUCGCGGAUCAGCAUGCCGCGGUGAAUACGUUCCCGGGCCUUGUACACACCGCCCGUCACACCAUGAGAGUUUGUAACACCCAAAGUCGGUGGGGUAACCUUUUAGGAACCAGCCGCCUAAGGUGGGACAGAUGAUUAGGGUG